rnacentral:rRNA from 1 species
AUUGAACGCUGGCGGCAUGCCUUACACAUGCAAGUCGAACGGCAGCACGGGAGCAAUCCUGGUGGCGAGUGGCGAACGGGUGAGUAAUAUAUCGGAACGUGCCCAGUCGUGGGGAUAACGUAGCGAAAGCUACGCUAAUACCGCAUACUAUCUAUGGAUGAAAGCGGGGGAUCGCAAGACCUCGCGCGAUUGGAGCGGCCGAUAUCAGAUUAGGUAGUUGGUGAGGUAAAGGCUCACCAAGCCGACGAUCUGUAGCUGGUCUGAGAGGACGACCAGCCACACUGGGACUGAGACACGGCCCAGACUCCUACGGGAGGCAGCAGUGGGGAAUUUUGGACAAUGGGCGCAAGCCUGAUCCAGCAAUGCCGCGUGCAGGAUGAA